rnacentral:rRNA from 1 species
AGGAAUAUUGGUCAAUGGACGAGAGUCUGAACCAGCCAAGUAGCGUGAAGGAUGACUGCCCUAUGGGUUGUAAACUUCUUUUAUACGGGAAUAAAGUGGAGUAUGCAUACUCCUUUGUAUGUACCGUAUGAAUAAGGAUCGGCUAACUCCGUGCCAGCAGCCGCGGUAAUACGGAGGAUCCGAGCGUUAUCCGGAUUUAUUGGGUUUAAAGGGAGCGUAGGCGGGUGCUUAAGUCAGUUGUGAAAGUUUGCGGCUCAACCGUAAAAUUGCAGUUGAUACUGGGCGCCUUGAGUGCAGCAUAGGUAGGCGGAAUUCGUGGUGUAGCGGUGAAAUGCUUAGAUAUCACGAAGAACUCCGAUUGCGAAGGCAGCUUACUGGACUGUAACUGACGCUGAUGCUCGAAAGUGUGGGUAUCAAACAGGAUUAGAUACCCUGGUAGUCCACACAGUAAACGAUGAAUACUCGCUGUUUGCGAUAUACAGUAAGCGGCCAAGCGAAAGCGUUAAGUAUUCCACCUGGGGAGUACGCCGGCAACGGUGAAACUCAAAGGAAUUGACGGGGGCCCGCACAAGCGGAGGAACAUGUGGUUUAAUUCGAUGAUACGCGAGGAACCUUACCCGGGCUUAAAUUGCAAAUGAAUUAUGGGGAAACCCAUACGCCGCAAGGCAUUUGUGAAGGUGCUGCAUGGUUGUCGUCAGCUCGUGCCGUGAGGUGUCGGCUUAAGUGCCAUAACGAGCGCAACCCUCGUGUCCAGUUACUAGCAGGUUAUGCUGAGGACUCUGGACAGACUGCCAUCGUAAGAUGUGAGGAAGGUGGGGAUGACGUCAAAUCAGCACGGCCCUUACGUCCGGGGCUACACACGUGUUACAAUGGGGGGUACAGCAGGCAGCUACCGGGCGACCGGAUGCCAAUCCCGAAAGCCUCUCUCAGUUCGGACUGGAGUCUGCAACCCGACUCCACGAAGCUGGAUUCGCUAGUAAUCGCGCAUCAGCCACGGCGCGGUGAAUACGUUCCCG